UACGGAGGGUGCAAACGUUGCUCGGAAUCAUUGGGCGUAAAGCGCACGUAGGCGGUCCCAUAAGUCGGGUGUGAAAGCCCUCGGCUCAACCGAGGAAGUGCAUUCGAAAACUGUGGGACUCGAGUACUGGAGAGGAUGGCGGAAUUCCCGGUGUAGAGGUGAAAUUCGUAGAUAUCGGGAGGAACACCAGCGGCGAAGGCGGCCAUCUGGACAGAUACUGACGCUGAGGUGCGAAAGCGUGGGGGAGCAAACAGG
rnacentral:rRNA from 1 species